rnacentral:rRNA from 1 species
AUGGGAUCGCCGGUUUCUUUUCCACGGGAGCUGCUGCUCUACGUGGUCGCGGGCGCGGCGAUCGCCUGGUGCGCCGUGCGGGCGCUGGACUGGGCGUGGUGGAGGCCCCGGCGCCUGGACCGCGCGCUGCGGUCGCAGGGCCUCCGGGGCACGCCGUACCGCUCCGUGGCCGGCGACGCGCCGCUUGCCGAGAGGCUCAACGAGGACGCGAGGUCCCGGUCCAUGCCGCUGGGCUGCCACGACGUCGUGCCCCGGGCCAUGCCGCUGUUCCACCAGACCAUGAAGGAGCACGGUAAAAUGUCUAUCACUUGGUUUGGACCGUCACCUAGAGUGACCAUUACCAAGCCCGCACUGGUGCGAGAAGUACUGUGCAACAAGUCCGGCGACUUUGAGAAGCUCAAGUUGGGCCGACUUCAGAGGAUGUUGCACAAUGGCAUUGGCAGCCACGAGGGCGAGAAAUGGGCCAAGCACAGGAGGAUCAUCAACCCUGCCUUCCAUCUCGAGAAGCUCAAGCGCAUGCUGCCAGCUUUCGCUGCAUGUUGCACGGACCUGGUGGACAGAUGGGAAGGCCUAGCCGCGGGUGAUGCGGCAUGCGAGGUAGAUGUCUGGCCCGACAUGGAGAACCUGACAGGGGAUGUCAUCUCUCGCGCCGCCUUCGGCAGCAGCUACCUGGAGGGCCGGAGGAUCUUCCAGCUUCAGGGGGAGCAGAUCGAGCUCACCGUGCUCGCCAUGAACAAGAUACAUAUCCCUGGUUAUUUGUUCUUUCCUACAAAAGCCAACCGAAGGAUGAGACAGAUCGCGGCCGAGAUCGAGAGGAUCCUGAAGGGCAUCAUCGCGAAAAGAGAGAACGCCUUGAGGGCCGGCGAAGCCACGAGCGACGAUCUUCUCGGGCUGCUGCUGGAGUCCAACAUGGCACACACCAGGGCGGGCGGCAAUUCCAAGGCCGGCAUCACAACCGACGACGUGAUCGGAGAGUGCAAGCUAUUCUACUUCGCCGGCAUGGAGACCACGUCGGUGCUGCUCACGUGGACGAUGAUCGUCCUCUGCAUGCACCCGGAGUGGCAGGACCGCGCCAGGGACGAGGUCGUGCAUGUCUUCGGCGACCGCACGCCGGAUUACGACGGGUUAAGUCGCCUGAGAAUUGUGACCAUGGUGCUGUACGAGGUGCUGCGGCUGUACACGCCGCUGACGGCGCUCCAGCGCAAGACGUACAGGCCGACGGAGCUCGGCGGCGUCAGGUACCCGGCGGGCGUGGUGCUUAUGCUGCCGUUGUUGAGCGUCCACCACGACAAGGAGGUUUGGGGCGCGGACGCCCAUGAGUUCAGGCCGGAGAGGUUCUCCGAGGGGGUCUCCAAGGCGUCCGUCGACGCGCCGGCCUUCUUCCCGUUCGGCUGGGGCCCGCGGAUCUGUGUCGGCCAGAACUUCGCGCUGCUCGAGGCUAAAAUGGGGCUCGCCAUGAUCCUGCAGCGCUUCUCCUUCGACCUCUCGCCGUCCUACACGCACGCGCCCUUCACCGUUGGCCUGCUGCAGCCUGAGCACGGCGCGCAGGUCAGGCUCAAGAGGCUUCAGUGA